rnacentral:ncRNA from 1 species
UAAGAUAGAGGUGCGAUUUUUAUUAGUAACAAUAAGGAGUUAAGCAGCAUUGAUUUAUUGUGAAAGGAAAUGUUGCCGAAGUAUAUAACUGAAGCUUUAAGGUUAUAUAUCUGGGGGUAUGUAAAAUAUACAUGCCACUGUCACUAAGGAAUUAGUGGUGAGCUAUCAUU